rnacentral:rRNA from 1 species
AACGAACGCUGGCGGCAGGCUUAACACAUGCAAGUCGAACGCCCCGCAAGGGGAGUGGCAGACGGGUGAGUAACGCGUGGGAACAUACCCUUUCCUGCGGAAUAGCUCUGGGAAACUGGAAUUAAUACCGCAUACGCCCUACGGGGGAAAGAUUUAUCGGGGAAGGAUUGGCCCGCGUUGGAUUAGCUAGUUGGUGGGGUAAAGGCCUACCAAGGCGACGAUCCAUAGCUGGGCUGAGAGGAUGAUCAGCCACAUUGGGACUGAGACACGGCCCAAACUCCUACGGGAGGCAGCAGUGGGGAAUAUUGGACAAUGGGCGAAAGCCUGAUCCAGCCAUGCCGCGUGAGUGAUGAAGGCCUUAGGGUUGUAAAGCUCUUUCACCGAUGAAGAUAAUGACGGUAGUCGGAGAAGAAGCCCCGGCUAACUUCGUGCCAGCAGCCGCCGUAAUAC